rnacentral:sRNA from 1 species
GCUGGGCACAGUGGCACAGGCCUGUAAUCCCAGCAUCUCAGGAAGCUGAGACAGGAGGAUCCUGAGUUCAAAGCCAGCCUCAGCAAUGGCGAGGUGUUAAGCAACUCGGUGAGACCCUGUCUCUA